UGCUCUCGAUCUUCCUUCUCUCUCCCUUCGCUCUCGAUCUCCGACAACGCUGUUCUUCCCUCUCGACUUCUCCUCUCUCCACCGUAUUCCAUUGACGUUGGUGUGGGGGUGAUUGACGCCGAUCGGGUCUUGUGUUCAACUAGUCGACGAUAUCAGAUCUUGGAUUGACGGUUGUGAGUUAGAGUUUUAGAGACAAAUGAAGUGCUUGAAGAGUUCCCCUCCUUCUUGGCUCUUAUAUCAUUGCAGCUGAAAACCAUAAUCCAGGAAAAG